GAUGAACGCUGGCGGCGUGCCUAAUACAUGCAAGUCGAGCGAAUGGAUUAAGAGCUUGCUCUUAUGAAGUUAGCGGCGGACGGGUGAGUAACACGUGGGUAACCUGCCCAUAAGACUGGGAUAACUCCGGGAAACCGGGGCGAAUACAGGAUACAUUUUGAACAGCAUGGUUCGAAAUUGAAAGGCGGCUUCGGCUGUCACUUAUGGAUGGACCCGCGCCGCAUUAGCUAGUUGGUGAGGUAACGGCUCACCAAGGCAACGAUGCGUAGCCGACCUGAGAGGGUGAUCGGCCACACUGGGACUGAGACACGGCCCAGACUCCUACGGGAGGCAGCAGUAGGGAAUCUUCCGCAAUGGACGAAAGUCUGACGGAGCAACGCCGCGUGAGUGAUGAAGGCUUUCGGGUCGUAAAACUCUGUUGUUAGGGAAGAACAAGUGCUAGUUGAAUAAGCUGGCACCUUGACGGUACCUAACCAGAAAGCCACGGCUAACUACGUGCCAGCCGCCGCAGUAA
rnacentral:rRNA from 1 species